AUCUUCCUCACCCAGGCAUUGAACCUGAGUCUCUUGCAUUGGCAGGCAGAUGCUUUACCACUGAGCCACCUGGGAAGCCCAUGUAGAUAAUAGAAGAUCUCUAUUUACAAAUGAGGAGAUAGCCUAAGAUGCCUCGAUUGCCUCAAAUAUAUAUUCAGUUGAGGAUCUUAGAUCCCUGGUCAGAGAUUAAACCCAGGCCACAGCCGUGAAACCUCCGAGUCGUAACCACUGGACCACCAGAGGAUUUCCAGAAGAACAAUAUUUGGACUAGAUCUCCCAUGAUAUUUGUAUUGGGUUGGCCAAAAAGUUCAUUGUUCAUUUGUGUUUUCCCAUAAGAUGUUAUAAAUAAAUUGUAUUGAAUUCUC